rnacentral:lncRNA from 1 species
AAGGUAUCUGCUUCAAAUGAGGCUGUUUCUAGAAGUGUGAAGUCGGUGUUCAAAGCUCGGGUGCAGCGGCUUAACUCUUUAGAGGUACUCCAUGAUUUGCUGAGUUUUGGUUAUUGAUAUGUUUUUCCAUGAAUUGAAGAUAUGAGUUCAUGUGUAAGAGGUGAAAUAUGUAUGACUCUUUUGUUCUGAAUUUUCAGUUUUGGGAUUUCCAAGCUCCAUUGAAGAAGUCAGUUGGGCCUCCGAGAAGAUCACCUCUAGAUGGUAAAUUUGAUUGUCAACUUCACCUUUUAUCUACCUUUAUUUUUCUUCUUCUUUUCCUUGAUAUGCAUCCAUUAGUGCACUAACCUUUUUGUUGUUGCUUGAUGGAAAUAAGUUCUGUAUGUGUGGUUCUUUACAAUUGUGCACGUAAUUACAAAAAGUUAUCCCAUAUAAUGAAGUAGAUUUGUUCAGUUAUAUGAGUGAAGUAGAAGUGCUGAAAUUCUUGGCAUUGGUGAUUAUUUGAAAGUUAUUUCUCUUUCUGCCUCUCUUUCUCUUUUUUUUUUUCGGCAGCUUCUUUUCAAUCUUCAAUGCUGCCAGAUUCGUGCUUCAAUGUCUGUAGCUUCUUUUCUACAAGCUUCUUGCUUCCAAUUUUACAUCUUUUCAUUUCUGCAUAAGGUUGCUUCCAUUUUUGCAUUUUUUGCUUUGUCUUUCUUCAUCUAUUCUUUAUGCUUUGCAUCCUUGACAGCUUCUUAAACCUCUUUUUUAUUUUUUUAUAUCUUUAGCUAUUAUUUUCUUCCUUUUUAUGUGUUUCUUUCUGUUUUACUAUAUCUUUAGUUAUAUAUAUAUAUAUAUAUAUAUAUAUAUAUAUAUAUAUAUGUGUGUGUGUGUGUGUGGCCCUUCAAAGCAAAAAACUAAGCAAAACGUUAUUAUAAUCUCAUACAGCAAAAGUAUCAUGUGCAGAGAAUUUGUGGGCUCAAGGUAAGAGCAUUUGUGGGGCUCAGAAUAUUACAGAAAACCUCCAAAAGUGAGAUUUGGGCUCCAAAUUGUCGAACCAAAACUUGAAUACAAAAUUUAGAGUUCUAUUUAAAUGUAGUUCAGGCCUCAGGCCUCACUUUAUUAUUUAAUGCAUGCUUUCUUAUUUAUUGUUUAUUGCUUUGUUGAAUCUGCAAUGCUUUAGUUUUCAUAUAUAUUUUUGUUAGUUCUUUCUUUCUCCUUGACUAUUUUAAUUUGAUUUGUUGAACCUAUAACUAUUACAUAUAUAGUGUUUAGAAAGUUCAUGUUUAUGAGGUUGCUGUCUGUUGUUUGUCUUGAUCAAUUUGACACCGAUUUUACUCAUUAAAUUCUUCAAUUUUCUCUGCUUCAUUUUUAUUUUGAUUUGCUCUAUGAUUCAGGGCUCGGUAACGGGAGGUCCUUCAGCCGGCUGUUAACGAUGGUGGGGAGGGCUGACCUGUAGUGGCGGUUGUAGCAUUAUCGUGUUCCAGCAGGAUCGCGGAUGGCAAAAGGUACAAGUCUUGAAG